AUUAUUAAUUAAUAUUUUUAAAUGCAUAUUUUAAUUUAUUUUUGUGAAAACCCAAUGGCAUCUUUUUAUAAAAUCCUAUAACUUUUCAAAAAUCUACCAAACCAAACUUUUAAAAGUAAUACUAAACCAACUAAUCUGUCAUUAACAAUGAGGUGGCAAACUAUAGUUUUCCAGUAGCAUUGCACUAUAUCAUACAUUAAUUCCUUUCCAUGUUCUGUUUGCGCACUUGGUCCCAUGCUUAGUAGUGUGAAUGAUGUGUUGUGGUCAACACAAGCCCAGCAAAUAUCUAGUACUAAUGCAACAUGAAGGGAAACAUACACAACAUAAUAUGUGAUAAAAAAACUAUCUCACAUCUAAUGUUUGCUCGAGCCCAUAUAUCUAUCAACUUGAAUAUUUGAAAAGAUGAAACAUAAUCCCCUAUCGAAAGUAGUAGACAUCUUUUAAAUAUUCAUGAACCCACCAACCUAUCAACUAGGUUUUCGAGUUGGACAUUAUCACCCUGUCCGAGUUGGACAUUAUCACCUUGUCCAUCUAGAAGCUCAAAGUUUUUGAGUUGGACAUUAUCACCGAAGGCAUUGCACCUUAGAAAUAAUUUGCCAUGAUCUUUUUUUUAUCUUUUCUUAAUAAAAAUAUUCUUUAGUUAAGCAAC
rnacentral:lncRNA from 1 species